rnacentral:rRNA from 1 species
UACGAAGGGGGCUAGCGUUGCUCGGAAUUACUGGGCGUAAAGGGCGCGUAGGCGGAUCGUUAAGUCGGGGGUGAAAUCCUGGAGCUCAACUCCAGAACUGCCUUCGAUACUGGCGAUCUUGAGUCCGGAAGAGGUGAGUGGAACUCCUAGUGUAGAGGUGGAAUUCGUAGAUAUUAGGAAGAACACCAGUGGCGAAGGCGGCUCACUGGUCCGGUACUGACGCUGAGGUGCGAAAAGCGUGGGGAGCAAACAGG